GAUGAACGCUGGCGGCGUGCUUAACACAUGCGAGUCGAACGGUGAACCCGGAGCUUGCUCUGUGGGAUCAGUGGCGAACGGGUGAGUAACACGUGAGCAACCUGCCCCUGACUCUGGGAUAAGCGCUGGAAACGGCGUCUAAUACUGGAUAUGUGACGUGACCGCAUGGUCUGCGUUUGGAAAGAUUUUUCGGUUGGGGAUGGGCUCGCGGCCUAUCAGCUUGUUGGUGAGGUGAUGGCUCACCAAGGCGUCGACGGGUAGCCGGCCUGAGAGGGUGACCGGCCACACUGGGAAUGAGAAACGGCCCAGACUCCUACGGGAGGCAGCAGUGGGGAAUAUUGCACAAUGGGCGCAAGCCUGAUGCAGCAACGCCGCGUGAGGGAUGACGGCCUUCGGGUUGUAAACCUCUUUUAGCAGGGAAGAAGCGAAAGUGACGGUACCUGCAGAAAAAGCGACGGCUAACUACGUG
rnacentral:rRNA from 1 species